AAAAAAAUGGAGUAGAAGGGUGAAAAAGGGGCCCAAAAACCAAGGUAAUAAAGGGGCAAAAAAAGGCCGAAAUGAAAGGGGAAAAAAAAGGUAAAAAAGAAAAGGCCAAAAAAAAAAAGGCCAGAAAAGGGCCAAAGAAAAAGGCCAAAAAAAAAAAAGAAAAAAAAGGUCAAAAAAGGGCCCCAAAAAAAGGCCAGGAAAAAGGCAAAAAAGGCCAGAAAAAAAAGGCAACGGGCAAAAAAAGGUCAAAAAUAAAAAGGCCAGAAAAAGGGCAAAAAAAAAGGCAAUAAAAGGCCAAAAAGGGGCCCAAAAAGAAAGAAGGCCAGAAAAAGGGCAAGAAAAAGCCAAAAAAAAAAAAGGCCUGGAAAAGGGCAAAAAAGGGCCCCAAAAAAUAGGCCAAAAAAAGGGUCCAAAAAAAAAAGGCCAGAGAGAGGCCAAAAAAGGGCUCAAAAAAAGGUCAAUAAAGGGCCAAAAAUUAAGAAGGCCGAAAAAAGGGACCAAAAAAAGGCCAAAAAAAAAAAAAAAGGUCAAUAAAAGGCAAAAAAAAAAAAGGCCAAGAAAAGGCCCUGAAAGGCCUAAAAAAAAGAAGGCCAAGAAAAGGUCCUGAAAGGCCUAAAAAAGAAGGCCAAGAAAAGGCCCUGAAAGGCCUAAAAAAGAAGGCCAAGAAAAGGCCCUGAAAGGCCUAAAAAAAAAGGCCAAGAAAAGGUCCUGAAAGGCCUAAAAAAGAAGGUCAAGAAAAGGCCCUGAAAGGCCUAAAAAAAAGAAGGCCAAGAAAAGGCCCUGAAAGGCCUAAAAAAUAAGAAGGCCAAGAAAAGGCCCUGAAAGGCCUAAAAAAAAGAAGGCCAAGAAAAGGCCCUGAAAGGCCUAAAAAAAAGAAGGCCAAGAAAAGGUCCUGAAAGGCCUAAAAAAGAAGGCCAAGAAAAGGCCCUGAAAGGCCUAAAAAAUAAGAAGGCCAAGAAAAGGUCCUGAAAGGCCUAAAAAAGAAGGCCAAGAAAAGGCCAAAAAUAGGGGAAGAGAAGGCAAAAAACAAA